rnacentral:sRNA from 1 species
GCCCUUUGUACACACCGCCCGUCGCUACUACCGAUUGAAUGGCUCAGUGAGGCGUUCGGACUGGCUCGGGGAGGUUGGCAACGACCACCCCAAGCCGGAAAGUUCGUCAAACUCGGUCAUUUAGAGGAAGUAAAAGUCGUAACAAGGUCUCCGUAGGUGAACCUGCGGAGGGAUCAUUACACAAUAAACAUAUGAAGGCUGCACCGCCAACAGGCGGCAAGGCUGGAGUAUUUUAUUACCCUUGUCUUUUGCGCACUUGUUGUUUCCUGGGCGGGUUCGCCCGCCUCCAGGACCACAUGAUAAACCUUUUUUAUGCAGUUGCAAUCAGCGUCAGUACAACAAAUGUAAAUCAUUUACAACUUUCAACAACGGAUCUCUUGGUUCUGGCAUCGAUGAAGAACGCAGCGAAAUGCGAUACGUAGUGUGAAUUGCAGAAUUCAGUGAAUCAUCGAAUCUUUGAACGCACAUUGCGCCCUUUGGUAUUCCAAAGGGCAUGCCUGUUCGAGCGUCAUUUGUACCCUCAAGCUUUGCUUGGUGUUGGGCGUUUUUUGUCUUUGGUUUUGUCCAAAGACUCGCCUUAAAACGAUUGGCAGCCGGCCUACUGGUUUCGCAGCGCAGCACAUUUUUGCGCUUGCAAUCAGCAAAAGAGGACGGCACUCCAUCAAGACUCUAUAUCACUUUUGACCUCGGAUCAGGUAGGGAUACCCGCUGAACUUAAGCAUAUCAUA